GAGUGGCGGACGGGUGAGUAAUGUCUGGGAAACUGCCCGAUGGAGGGGGAUAACUACUGGAAACGGUAGCUAAUACCGCAUAAUGUCGCAAGACCAAAGAGGGGGACCUUCGGGCCUCUUGCCAUCGGAUGUGCCCAGAUGGGAUUAGCUAGUUGGUGAGGUAACGGCUCACCAAGGCGACGAUCCCUAGCUGGUCUGAGAGGAUGACCAGCCACACUGGAACUGAGACACGGUCCAGACUCCUACGGGAGGCAGCAGUGGGGAAUAUUGCACAAUGGGCGCAAGCCUGAUGCAGCCAUGCCGCGUGUAUGAAGAAGGCCUUCGGGUUGUAAAGUACUUUCAGCGGGGAGGAAGGGGUUAAGGUUAAUAACCUUAGCCAUUGACGUUACCCGCAGAAGAAGCACCGGCUAACUCCGUGCCAGCAGCCGCGGUAAUACGGAGGGUGCAAGCGUUAAUCGGAAUUACUGGGCGUAAAGCGCACGCAGGCGGUCUGUCAAGUCGGAUGUGAAAUCCCCGGGCUCAACCUGGGAACUGCAUUCGAAACUGGCAGGCUUGAGUCUCGUAGAGGGGGGUAGAAUUCCAGGUGUAGCGGUGAAAUGCGUAGAGAUCUGGAGGAAUACCGGUGGCGAAGGCGGCCCCCUGGACGAAGACUGACGCUCAGGUGCGAAAGCGUGGGGAGCAAACAGGAUUAGA
rnacentral:rRNA from 1 species